rnacentral:rRNA from 1 species
GAUGAACGCUGGCGGCGUGCCUAAUACAUGCAAGUCGACCGAACGGACGAGAUGCUUGCUUCUCUGAUGUUCGCGCCGGACGGGUGAGUAUCACGUGCAUACCCUACCUAUAAGACUGGGUUAUCUUCCGGAAACCGGUGCUACUACCGUCUGAUCUUUUGAACCGCAUGGUUCUAAAGUCACAUACGGUCUUUCUGUCACUUAUAGCUGUAUCUGCGCUGCAUUAGCUAGUUGGUAAGGUAACGGCUUACCAAGGCAACGAUGCAUAGCUGACCUGAGAGGAUGAUCGGCCACACUGGAACUGAGACACGGUCCAGACUCCUACGGGAGGCAGCAGUAGGGAAUCUUACGCAAUGGGCGAAAGCCUGACGGAGCAACGCCGCGUGAGUGAUGAAGGUCUUCGGAUCGUAAAACUCUGUUAUUAGGGAAGAACAGAAGUGUAAGUAACUGUGGACAUCUUGACGGUACCAAAACAGAAAGCCACGGCUAACUACGUG